AUAUUAAUGGUUUGAGCUGGCCAGGACUAUGUACCUGAAGAGGGUGACCUGAUUCUAGUGGGUCUUUGGGAGCAGUUAGACUCCAGAUCAGUGGAGAGUGCAGUCCAACUCUUGCUACAUACAAGUACAAGUCCAUCCUAGUUGACCUCGGCUGGGACCUCCUCUCUCUCUCCUCAGAUGACUGCCUGUGUGUGAGACUGACGCCAGGUGGUCGCUAGUGGACAAAUCGUAGAGCUGGGCUCCCCUAAAGAGAUGUGUCUGUCUGUACUGGAACAGAUGGACUCACUGGCCUCUUUUGCUCACCUAUUACUUUUGGAAGAGAUAAUGAUCUCGUAUACCUACCAGUUGUGCUGAGCCAGCAGUUUCUCCUCUCACUGUGUUUGGCUCAUGUGAUCACUUUGUUUAAAAGGUAAGUGUUGUGUAUAAGAUAAAAUAAAUCCAAUGAAUACGUAGUUAUAGUUGUUUUAGCUGGUAUUGUCUUGUCGAAGUUCCUCUAUAAGUAUAAGUUGUUCGUAUUCCUAAUAAAUCUCCAUGCACUUCUGUAUAAGUAGAAUUUCAAAAUGCAUGGCCAAAAAAUGUAGUUUCCCCUAGUUUAUGUAGCUGCUAGCAAUUGCUCUAGCUCUUGUUUGGUUGACCUUAAUUACUGGUUGAGAUACGAUAGCUUCAUGUCAAUUAAUUAAGCUCCUAACCCAACCUAUUACAUCCAGAUUUGCAGAUGAAAUGCUUGUGCUACAGUAUUGUGUCUGAGUGUGUAUAAAUGAGUCAACAGCUGUGUAUGGUAUGUCUUGUGUGUCCAGUGGUGUGCUCUGCAUUGUUAGCCUUGGCAUGAUGCCCAGAGUGUUCUUUCCCUGGUGACUCUCCUAUAAAGCUAGUUGCCAGGUUGUCUGGCCCAAGUAUUGACACAGCUGGUGGACAGGUCCAAAGUACUUGUCCUUAAGCUAUAUGCAGCUAUACACAGACGACUAUAAAUGAUCUGUCAGCUGUUGUCUUAUACCUACGUUGUACAUAAUGAUUUCCAGUAUACACAAAGUUAUAGCAGUCCCUUGUGCUCACCCACCCAUGCAGCCAUAUAUACGUAGUAAACUGUCAGAUUGUAAAAUAAUGUUCUGAUUUUAACAAAACACGUAACAGCCUAAUUUGGCAGCAACUAAAAGAGUCAUAAAUAUAUAAUUAUAAUUAUGGCAGCUAAGCUAAUCACAUGCAGCAGGGGCUACAUGCAGCUGUUCUUAGUUCAGCCUCUGCUAAACAACUCUACGAGGAGUGUUACAAUUGUCGGCUUUGAACGUGAUGCCAGCCGCUUGACUCUUCAUAGCCAUCGAGUGUGAUCUUCAAGAGCUAGUUUCAAUUCUCCUAAGAAAUCCUCUCAUCUCUUGUACACUUCUUUGCACUUGAGAUUAAAUCUCGUGAUGAAAAUUGAAAUGAGAAGCUAGUUUGGAGUUCGGAACUCUUUGGAUAUUCAAUUUUUCUUUAAUACCUCUUUUGGUUAGUUUUUGAAAUGUUGAUGCUGAUAUGGAGACUCUCUCUCUCAGACUUAAAUUGCGGAUUUAAUUGAUAUAUUGUGGAUUCUGUUGGAGGUUUUUAUAGCCUGUUGGCAGACCUGGUGCUUUCCCUGGUGGUUCCCCUAGUCAGUGUCAGGGACUUACCCCACCAUCUGCUAUUACUAAUUAUUAUCCCGAGACACACGGCCACA